rnacentral:lncRNA from 1 species
CCUGCAUACAAAAUUAUGUAAUAAUACAAGAGAGCCAAUAGCACAAAAUAUCGCCAAGAACUAAAAGCAUCCGGUGCAUGCGGAAUAAUCUGGGACCCAAAAAAUAAGAAAAAUAAAAAAGACCAAAAAGCUCUGAAAGCCUAAAAAUCCAACUCCUGAGGAUGACCCCUUGAAGAUCCAAAAAUUACUGCAAUCAAUGCCGCUUUUCCAUCGACCUUCGGCCACCUGACCUUGCACAAUGCCUCUAAGGUUUUCAUCUUUAUCAGCCUUAAACACAAAGGAAAGAAAAAAAUCCAUCAAAGCUCAAGCAACCUUAAACACAAAGGAAAGAGAGGGAAAGACAAAGAGAUAGGCAUAUGCAAGCUGCAGGGAACCUUCAAUCAAACAUCUCUAGGGGUCAAUGAAGCUUCAAUCAGCUCAAAAGGUAGGCGAAGGCGGUGAAGAGGUGUUAUGAGGCAACCCAUUCGCGCCGUUAUUGUGAGCCCUCUCCGAACCGAUCUGGACAAGCGAGAAACCAGAUGUAGCACGGAGCUCAUUCAGCUUCAACCACGAUCAAAACCAUGUAUCGCCGAAUCUGAAGGUCGAUGAUGGAAACCAAGACGCUAAAAAAAGAGAGAUGAACCUCCCUGAUCGAGUCUAGCCCCCAUCAUUCAAGCAAAGAAAAACUCUUCCAGUCGAACAAACCCAGCAAAAGAGAAAAUCUACCUCAUGAGAUUCGAUUUCUUUUUCCCGCAGAGUAUUCCUUGAAGCGCAUACAAGACAUCAAAGUACAGCCAAUACGAGAUAGAUACUGAAAGAAUCUCCUCAAAUAAGCUUAAUUUGUCAAAAUAAAAUAAAAUAAAAUAAAAGAUAAAAUAAAACUAUAUAACCUCACUAGGUAGGGGAGGAACAAAACUCACUGUCGGGUGAGAUGGAAGAAGACCACCCCUGCUCGGAAAGAGCAGGGAUAGCCAUAGAUAGACAGAGACAGGGUCUUAAGUCUCAAAAAAAAAAAAAAGAAAAACCCUAACAGAGAAUUUCUCUCUCUAACCAAACUUAGAGAGAAUACAAAUUGAUCAACAAGGAUUUCAUUGAUCAACAAGGCAUUGGCCAAAUACAAAUUGGUAUUAUGCAAGAGGAUUACAAGAAAAGAACAGAUGACGAACAGGGCGAAUGCACAUGAGUACACGGGGCCAUGAGUCCAUGACCUCUCUAAAAUUUUGUGAAUCAUGCAGGGUACAUAAAUAAUUUUUUAUUAAUUCUAGAUAAAUAAAAGUAAAAUUAUUAUUAAGUCCAUAAUUUUUUAUAAAAUUCAUUAAUU